UACAGAGGUGGCAAGCGUUGUUCGGAAUUACUGGGCGUAAAGGGCGCGUAGGCGGCCUUCUAAGUCAGACGUGAAAUCCCCCGGCUUAACCUGGGAACUGCAUUUGUGACUGCAUCGCUGGAGUGCGGCAGAGGGGGAUGGAAUUCCGCGUGUAGCAGUGAAAUGCGUAGAUAUGCGGAGGAACACCGAUGGCGAAGGCAAUCCCCUGGGCCUGCACUGACGCUCAUGCACGAAAGCGUGGGGAGCAAACAGG
rnacentral:rRNA from 1 species